GAAGCACAGUUUUCCUGGCUGAGCCUCUGAUUGGUGCACGGCCAAGAACUGUUUCUUGUCCAACCGGAAGUGUUUCAGAAGGAGUGCUUCAAAUCUUGUCCUUUUUGGGAGGGAUGUUUCUUUCCAGUAUCUUUUAUAUCACAAGGAUAUAUUUCGAUUUGCACCGCUUUCCCCCUCACCCCCGUUCACAAAUUUUCAUUAGAACAAUUGAUUUUGAUUCAUUGUCUUUUUUUCCUCCUCCCAGUACGGUUUAUGGCCAGAAAGAUAUAUUUCGAUUUGCAGUGCUUCCCAAAGCUCCGGCUUACAAUUUUUAUUAAAACGGUUUAACUCCGUUCACUGCCUUUCCCCACAACUACGUUGUUCCAGUAGAACGAUAUAUUUCCAUUUGCACCGCCUCCUCUCCUUUACAAUCUUUCAUUAAAACUAUUUAUUUUCAGUGUCUUCCCCAUUACGUUUUUUCAUCAAAACGACUUAUUUCUAUUUGGGCCCUUACCCUCCUUUUACAAAUUUUCAUUAGAAUGGUUUAUUUUAGUUCUUUGUGACUUGGGGGGGGGGAAAUUAUUUCCCUCCUGUUAUGAUUCUUCAUAGAUCGAUUUACUUAGGUUUGUUGACUUUUUUUGUUUCUUUUCCCCCCAGUAAUGCUUAUCAUCAGAACGAUAUAUUUCUGUUCUGAUUUGCACCGCUUUUCCCCGCUGUUUACAAUAUCUCACUGCAAGGAUUCUUCUCGGGUGUAUCACGGUUUUUUUCCACCACCACGGUAUUUCGAUUUCAUCAUUCACUCACCACACACCCCAUUUACAAGUUUUCAUCAUAUCGAUUUAUUUCACUUUGUCGUGCCCUUUUCUGGGGUUUCUUUUCCCCCCAUUAAUGCUUAUCAUCAGAAGGAUAUGUUUAUAUAUGCGCGCGCGCUUGCACACACACACACACACGCACACACACCGGUCUUAUAG
rnacentral:lncRNA from 1 species